UUAAGCUACUAAGAGCGUGUGGCGGAUGUCUUGGCGAUGAGAGGCGAUGAAAGACGUUGGAGCCUGCGAUAAGCCCAGGGAAGGUGGCAACCAACCUGUGAUCCUGGGAUUUCUGAAUGGGGAAACCCGGCCUUAUGGUCAUCCAUACCUGAAUGCAUAGGGUAUGGAAGCGAACCUGGUGAACUGAAACAUCUAAGUAACCAGAGGAAAAGAAAGAAACCUCGAUUCCGUAAGUAGCGGCGAGCGAAAGCGGAUUAACCCGUAGCGUUGUGAAGGGUCCGGAAUGGCCCACCACAGAAGGUGACAGUCCUGUAACAGCGUAGCGGGGUAGCCCUAGAGUAGCGUCGGGCUCGUGAAACCCGGCGUGAACACGGGGGGUCCACCCCCCAAGGCUAAAUACUACUCAUCGACCGAUAGUGAACCAGUAGGGUGAUUGAAUGAUGAAAAGUUCCCCGUAAGGGAAGUGAAAAGUACCUGAAACCACACGCUUACAAGCGGUCGGAGCCCUUCGGGGUGACGGCGUGCCUUUUGCAUAAUGAGCCCACGAGUUGGCCUCUGUGGCAAGGUUAAGGUGUACACCACCGGAGCCGAAGCGAAAGCGAGUCUUAACCGGCGUACAGUCGCAGGGGCCAGACGCGAAACCUUGUGAUCUACCCAUGGCCAGGUUGAAGGGAAGGUAACACUUCCUGGAGGACCGAACCCGUUAACGUUGAAAAGUUAUGGGAUGAGCUGUGGGGAGGAGUCAAAGUCUAAUCAAACUGGGAGAUAUCUCGUUCUCCUCGAAAUAGUUUUUGGGCUAGCCUCGAGUAACAGCAGACGGGGGUAGAGCUACUGACAGGAGCUGGGGGGCAUAUCGCCUACCCACUCCUCCCAAACUCCGAAUACCGUUUGCUUUUGUCUCGGGAGUCAGUCUGCGGGUGAUAAUAUCCGUGGACAAAAGGGAAACAACCCAGACCGCCAGCUAAGGUCCCUAAUUGUAUCUCAGUUCUUAAGGAAGUCAGGGUGCCGUGACAGCCAGGAUGUUGGCUUAGAAGCAGCUACCAUUUAAAGAGUGCGUAAUAGCUCACUGGUCGAGGACUCUGGCGCCGAUAAUGAUCGGGAAUAAGAUACAAACCGAAGCUGCGGGCUACUUUUGUAGCGGUAGAGGAGCGUUCCAGGUGCUUUGAAGCGAAACGGGCAACGUUUCGUGGAGCGCCCGGAAGUGAAUAUGUGGGCUUGAGUAACGAUAAUGCAGGUGAAAAUCCUGCACGCCGAAAGACUAAGGUUUCCUGGGGAAGGUAAAUCCGCCCAGGGUUAGUCGGCACCUAAGGCGAGGCCGAAAGGCGUAGUCGAUGGACAGCAGGUUAAUAUUCCUGCACCGCGUUGUAGGUUGAAGCACCGUGACGGAUCCGGAAGGUCAUGCGACUGACCAGUUGUCGUUGCCGCAAGGCUAAGGGCUAGAUCCCGAUGAUGGUUGGAUGGGUCCCAAGAAAAGCCGGUGUGGACGAAAACGUGGCCGUACUAAAACUGACACAGGUAGUCGUGGCGAAUAGCCUCAGGCGCUCGAGAGAACGGUUGUUAAGGAAUUAGGCAAAUUCACCCCGUAAGUUCGCGAUAAGGGGGCCCUCACCUUCGGGAAGGGCGCAGAGAAAAGGCUCUGGGAACUGUUUAUCAAAAACACAGGACUGUGCUAACUCGCAAGAGGAUGUAUACAGUCUGACGCCUGCUCGAUGCCGGAAUGUCACGGAAGUAGGUUAGCUUCGGCGAAGCUUACGACCCAAGCACCGGUCAAUGGCGGCCGUAACUAUGACGGUCCUAAGGUAGCGAAAUUCCUUGUCGGGUAAGUUCCGACGCGCAUGAAUGGCGUAAUCACUGGAGCACUGUCUCAACAACCGACUCGGUGAAAUAGAAGAAGCGGUGAAGAUACCGCGUACCCGCAGCAAGACGGAAAGACCCCGUGAACCUUUACUGUACGCUGAUAUUGGCCAAGAACUUGUUCUGCGUAGGAUAGGUGGGAGACUUUGAAACCUGGAUUCUGGUCCGGGUGGAGUCGUCCUUGAAAUACCACCCUGAUCACGUUUUUGACCUAACCCCGUCCCGUGAAUCCGGGCGAGGGACCCUGUCAGCCGGGCAGUUUGACUGGGGCGGUCUCCUCCUAAAAAGUAACGGAGGAGCGCAAAGGUCAGCUCAGCACGGUUGGAAACCGUGUGUCGAGUGUAAGAGCACAAGCUGGCUUUACUGCAAGACAUACUCGUCAAGCAGUCACGAAAGUGGGCUCUAGUGAUCCGGUAGUUCCGAGUGGAAGGGCUAUCGCUCAACGGAUAAAAGGUACUCCGGGGAUAACAGGCUGAUCGCUCCCGAGCGUCCAUAGCGGCGGAGCGGUUUGGCACCUCGAUGUCGGCUCGUCGCAUCCUGGGGCUGAAGGCGGUCCCAAGGGUUGGGCUGUUCGCCCAUUAAAGCGGCACGCGAGCUGGGUUCAGACCGGCGUGAGCCAGGUCGGUCCCUAUCUGCUGUGGGCGUAGCAAUCUUGAGAGGAUUCGACUUUAGUACGAGAGGAUUAGGUCGGACGCACCCCUGGUGCGCCGGUUGGCCCGCUAGGGCCAUAGCCGGGUAGCUAAGUGCGGCAGGGAUAACCGUUGAAGGCAUCUAAAUGGGAAGCCUCCCUCAAGAUCAGGAUUGCACUGAGACCCCCGGUAGACCACCGGGUUGAUAGGCCACAGCUGUAAGAGCCGAGAAGCUCUCAGGUGAGUGGUACUAACGGUCGACUGCUUAUU
rnacentral:rRNA from 1 species